rnacentral:rRNA from 1 species
UACAGAGGUCUCAAGCGUUGUUCGGAUUCAUUGGGCGUAAAGGGUGCGUAGGCGGCAUGGUAAGUCGGAUGUGAAAUCCCGGGGCUCAACCCCGGAACUGCAUUCGAUACUGCUGAGCUAGAGUACUGGAGAGGAGAUUGGAAUUUACGGUGUAGCAGUGAAAUGCGUAGAUAUCGUAAGGAAGACCAGUGGCGAAGGCGGAUCUCUGGACAGUUACUGACACUGAGGAACGAAGGCCAGGGGAGCAAACGGG